CGCGCCUGCCUUGCUACCAACUUAGCCAAAGCGGCCGAGGGGCCUCCGCCCAGCUCGGGGGAGAGCGGCGCCAGCGGAAGGGCGGGGCGAGAGCCCUGGACAUCAGCUCCCGAGACCGGACAGUUUCUCAAAGAAGGACCAAAGUUUUGUCAAGAACUCCUAGAUGAAGACCUUCCUAGACCUGUAAGCUGAGAUUACCAGUUCUUGACUUCACAAGGAAGUUUCAACUAAUUCUCCUGACGGAACAAUCUGGGAGGCCCAAAUGACUGCCACCAUGAAGCAAGGACCUGAUCUCUUUCCUUUAGAUCUAAUGCCCUACUCUAACCGGAGAUCCACAACCUUCCUAAUCCCCACCCCCUCGUCGACCCGCCCCCGCGCCCCAAAAACUAUGGAGAAAAAGGAGGUCUGCCCAAGGCUGGAACGAAGUCAUCCUGCCUCUUCAUCAAAAGAGAGAG
rnacentral:lncRNA from 1 species